rnacentral:rRNA from 1 species
AGUCGAGCGGACAGAAGGGAGCUUGCUCCCGGAUGUUAGCGGCGGACGGGUGAGUAACACGUGGGUAACCUGCCUGUAAGACUGGGAUAACUCCGGGAAACCGGAGCUAAUACCGGAUAGUUCCUUGAACCGCAUGGUUCAAGGAUGAAAGACGGUUUCGGCUGUCACUUACAGAUGGACCCGCGGCGCAUUAGCUAGUUGGUGAGGUAACGGCUCACCAAGGCGACGAUGCGUAGCCGACCUGAGAGGGUGAUCGGCCACACUGGGACUGAGACACGGCCCAGACUCCUACGGGAGGCAGCAGUAGGGAAUCUUCCGCAAUGGACGAAAGUCUGACGGAGCAACGCCGCGUGAAGUGAUGAAGGUUUUCGGAUCGUAAAGCUCUGUUGUUAGGGAAGAACAAGUGCAAGAGUAACUGCUUGCACCUUGACGGUACCUAACCAGAAAGCCACGGCUAACUACGUGCCAGCAGCCGCGGUAAUACGUAGGUGGCAAGCGUUGUCCGGAAUUAUUGGGCGUAAAGGGCUCGCAGGCGGUUUCUUAAGUCUGAUGUGAAAGCCCCCGGCUCAACCGGGGAGGGUCAUUGGAAACUGGGAAACUUGAGUGCAGAAGAGGAGAGUGGAAUUCACGUGUAGCGGUGAAAUGCGUAGAGAUGUGGAGGAACACCAGUGGCGAAGGCGACUCUCUGGUCUGUAACUGACGCUGAGGAGCGAAAGCGUGGGGAGCGAACAGGAUUAGAUACCCUGGUAGUCCACGCCGUAAACGAUGAGUGCUAAGUGUUAGGGGGUUUCCGCCCCUUAGUGCUGCAGCUAACGCAUUAAGCACUCCGCCUGGGGAGUACGGUCGCAAGACUGAAACUCAAAGGAAUUGACGGGGGCCCGCACAAGCGGUGGAGCAUGUGGGUUUAAUUCGAAGCAACGCGAAGAACCUUACCAGGUCUUGACAUCCUCUGACAACCCUAGAGAUAGGGCUUUCCCUUCGGGACAGAGUGACAGGUGGUGCAUGGUUGUCGUCAGCUCGUGUCGUGAGAUGUUGGGUUAAGUCCCGCAACGAGCGCAACCCUUGAUCUUAGUUGCCAGCAUUCAGUUGGGCACUCUAAGGUGACUGCCGGUGACAAACCGGAGGAAGGUGGGGAUGACGUCAAAUCAUCAUGCCCCUUAUGACCUGGGCUACACACGUGCUACAAUGGACAGAACAAAGGGCUGCGAGACCGCAAGGUUUAGCCAAUCCCACAAAUCUGUUCUCAGUUCGGAUCGCAGUCUGCAACUCGACUGCGUGAAGCUGGAAUCGCUAGUAAUCGCGGAUCAGCAUGCCGCGGUGAAUACGUUCCCGGGCCUUGUACACACCGCCCGUCACACCACGAGAGUUUGCAACACCCGAAGUCGGUGAGGUAACCUUAUGAGCCAGCCGCCGAA